rnacentral:pre_miRNA from 14 species
UUUUUGAAUAAUGAAAGGCCCCCGGAGCAGGGAGACCCUCACUCAAGUCUCAGGAUGAUGUGACUCCUCAAGAACUCACGUGAGACC